AACGAACGCUGGCGGCAUGCCUAACACAUGCAAGUCGAACGAGACCUUCGGGUCUAGUGGCGCACGGGUGCGUAACGCGUGGGAACCUGCCCUUAGGUUCGGAAUAACUCCCCGAAAGGGGUGCUAAUACCGGAUAAUGUCUUCGGACCAAAGAUUUAUCGCCUUUGGAUGGGCCCGCGUUGGAUUAGCUAGUUGGUAGGGUAAAAGCCUACCACGGCGCCGAUCCAUAGCUGGUCUGAGAGGAUGAUCAGCCACACUGGGACUGAGACACGGCCCAGACUCCUACGGGAGGCAGCAGUGGGGAAUAUUGGACAAUGGGCGAAAGCCUGAUCCAGCAAUGCCGCGUGAGUGAUGAAGGCCUUAGGGUUGUAAAGCUCUUUUACCCGGGAUGAUAAUGACAGUACCGGGAGAAUAAGCGCCGGCUAACUCCGUG
rnacentral:rRNA from 1 species